rnacentral:lncRNA from 1 species
GUCUUCCUUGGCAAGGCCUAAAGGCAGAUACAUUAAAAGAGAGAUAUCAGAAAAUUGGAGACACAAAACGAGCCACACCGAUAGAAGUGCUGUGUGAAAACUUCCCAGAAAUGGCAACAUAUCUUCGUUACGUACGAAGGCUAGAUUUUUUUGAAAAGCCAGACUAUGAUUACUUAAGAAAGCUUUUUACUGACUUGUUUGAUCGCAAAGGGUAUAUGUUUGAUUAUGAAUAUGACUGGAUUGGUAAACAGUUGCCUACUCCUGUAGGUGCAGUUCAGCAAGACCCGGCUCUGUCAUCGAACAGAGAAGCACACCAACACAGAGACAAGAUACAGCAGUCUAAAAACCAGUCGGCAGACCACAGGGCAGCUUGGGACUCCCAGCAGGCAAAUCCCCACCAUUUGAGAGCUCACCUUGCAGCAGACAGACAUGGUGGCUCGGUACAGGUUGUAAGUUCUACAAAUGGAGAGCUAAACACGGAUGACCCCACGGCGGGACGGUCAAAUGCACCCAUUACAGCCCCUACGGAAGUAGAAGUGAUGGAUGAAACCAACUGCCAGAAAGUACUGAACAUGUGGUG